rnacentral:sRNA from 1 species
UUGCAGUUGAAUUAGUAGAAGAAAAUGUAGCGCUUCAACUUGAAAAUGAUA